UAUGAAGACCCCGUUCCACAGAGGGUUCUUGUUAGAACCCAAACGUGUUCUACCUGUAACCAAAAAGUGUUCUCCUUUGGGAACAGCUGAAGAAGCAUUUUGGAACCCUUUUUUCUAAGAGUGUAAUGGAAAGAUAAAACAUCAAUGUAGACUUUGCAUAAUGCAAUAAUGGGGUUAGCAACAGGUGACAUAGGCUACAUGUGUGUGGUUGUGUUUAUGUGUGGUUGUGUUAAUGUGUGGUUGUGUUUAUGUGUGUUUGUGUUUAUGUGUGGUUGUGUUAAUGUGUGGUUGUGUUUAUGUGGUUGUGUUUAUGUGUGGUUGUGUUUAUGUGUUAAUGUGUGGUUGUGUUUAUGUGUGUUUGUGUUUAUGUGUGGUUGUGUUAAUGUGUGGUUGUGUUUAUGUGGUUGUGUUUAUGUGUGGUUGUGUUUAUGUGUGGUUGUGUGUUUGUGUUUAUGUGUGGUUGUGUUUAUGUGUGGUUGUGUGUUUGUUUUUAUGUGUGUUUGUGUGGUUGUGUUUAUGUGUGGUUGUGUUUGUGUGGUUGUGUUUGUGUGUGGUUGUGUUUAUGUGUGUUUGUGUGGUUGUGUUUAUGUGUGGUUGUGUUUAUGUGUGGUUGUUUUUAUGUGUGGUUGUGUGGUUGUGUUUGUGUGUGGUUGUGUUUGUGUGGUUGUGUUUAUGUGUGGUUGUUUUUAUGUGUGUUUGUGUGGUUGUGUUUAUGUGUGGUUGUGUUUAUGUGUGUUUGUGUGGUUGUGUUUAUGUGUGGUUGUGUUUAUGUGUGGUUGUGUUUAUGUGUUGUUGUUUUUAUGUGUGGUUGUGUUUGUGUGUGGUUGUGUUUGUGUGUGGUUGUGUUUAUGUGGUUGUGUUUGUGUGGUUGUGUUUGUGUGUGGUUGUGUCACGUCCUGACCAGUUAAGGGUUAGUUGUUGUUGGAGUUUGGUCAGGAUGUGGCAGAGGGUAUUUGUUUUAUAUGGUUCGGGGGGUUAUUGGUUAUGGUAGUUUGGUCAGGACGUGGCAGAGGGUAUUUGUUUUAUAUGGUUCGGGGGGUUAUGUGUAUGUAGAGGGGAAUUGUAUUUAUGUGUUCC
rnacentral:lncRNA from 1 species